UGUUGACCAACAUACCGAAGAGUUUAUGUAACGGAGAUCAAUUAUUAAUAGAUUUUAACUUGAAGCUAUUAUAUUUUUCUUGUUGCUUUAGGUGAUUUAUGCCUGAUUUUUCAUCUACAUGCACAAUUUAAAGAAUAAAGCGUCUUCCCAGCUCGGGGUCCGCUGCGUGUCUUCUCCAUUUCCAUCGAUCUUGGGUGUCCUCUGGGGUGAGAGCCACUGUGCGCAUGUCUUCGGUGAUUGCGUCCAUCCACCACUUCUUCGGCCUUCCGCGCGGUCGGCGGCCUCCAGGGUCGAGUCGGAGGGCUGUUCUUGACACCGAAUUCUCCUCACUGCGCAUGACGUGUCCAUACCACCAUAGGCGCACUUCCCUCAUCUUCUUUUCCAUUGGGGCAAGUCAGAGUCGUUUUUGAACAGCUUCAUUCGUCACACGAUGCAGCCGGGUCAAGCCCACCAUCCACCCGAGCAUCUUCAUCUCCAUAGCACUGAUGAUCUGCUCGUGUUUCUUAGUGGCUGGCCAGCAUUCUGCUCCAUCUAGGGCCACUGGCCGUAUGACUGUCUUGUAGAUCUUAUGAUGAUGGACUAUCUUCUUUGGCCUGCUCCGUCUUUGAGCAGAUAGCCUUUGUGUAUUUCUCACGUUGCUCCGGCGAGGAGGGACGCCCUAUCAUGUUUUUUUAAAGAGGUGGACAAAGUUACACUCAGGCAAAUCUGGCAAGUGAAACAGGUGGUGAGCUAAGCCAAGGCUUUGUUUGAGUGUCAAAAGACAUUGUCCCUCGGGUUUGUCAAAACAUUAUAUCAGAACUCCACCUUGAUCUUCUUCCUCUGGGGAAUGGAUUCAUGGUGUACAACAAUGUGGAUGUUGACCAACAUGCUCCUGGUCUCGCUGGCUGAUAUGCUGGAAUGCUUGGAAAAUGUGGACACUUCAACUGAAAAGUGCCUUCAUCACCAGAUAGAUAGAUAGAUAGAUAGAUAGAUAGAUAGUUUGGCAUAAUACAUAAUUUACAGACAUAAUUUCAAUAUUACAGUCAAGAAAAAAAUCUAAGGAGAAUAAGGAAUGCGCCUUUCUAAAAUUAGACUGAAAUGAUACCUUGAGUUCCUGCAAUUUUUGUAACCUCAGUAGGAUUUCGCUCUUUCAGAAGAAUAAGCUUGGCAGUAAUAACUUUUUUAUUGUGAAAAAUUUCCCAAAGUCUCACUGUGCCACAGUUCUGCAUUGCUGCCCAGAAACUAUUCUCCAUUAUUCUCUGUUCCACAAAUAUUUCACUCAUUACCAUGAAUACAAGUGAAGACCCACUCCAUUCUACCCCACCUUCUUUUCAGCCUAUGUUUGUGGCAGUUUGUUUGUUUGUUUGUUUGUUUUUGUUUUUGAGAGAAGGUGUGGCUUGUUUCCAAUCAUCAGCACUGGCAACAGGCGUGCCCAAUGAGCCAGAGCUCUACAAAAGCCUUCAUAGCUUAGUUUCUGUGUGAGAACCUUUUAAGGAUUCCAGUUGCUGUUUGGUUUGUUUUCUUGCGCUAAACAACAUUGCAUACAGUAUCUUUGCACUCAUGCACUCACUCACGCCACUAAUACUAAUGACUGAUGGUUAGUUUAAGGUCUUUCUUUGUUUCUUUAACCCUCUGGACUUGGCUAAUGCACUGGCACAGUCAAAUCAAUCAAUUUAAAGUGACGUAGCAGCUUCGCUGAAUUUCUAUUUCAGCUUGUGUCGAAUGUGCAGACUUCAAACUAUAAACCAGUUUUUAUUCCUAACAAUGCAGUUAUGUGGACUUUAUUGACAGUUUGAUGUUCCUACAAACAUUUGUGAAAGAACGGGCCACUCUCAGGAGCUUAGUGAAUUCCAGCGCUGUAAUGUGAUUGGAUGCCACCUGUGAAACAAGUCCAGUCAUGACAUUUCCUCACUACUAAAUAUUCCACAGUCAACAGUCAGUGGUAUUAUAACAAACUGAAAUGAUUGGGAACAACAGCAGCAAAACCACGAAGUGGUGGGCCACGAAAAAUCACAGAGCGAGUUUAGCGGAUACUGAGGUGCAAAGGUUGCCAACUUUCCCCAAAGUCAAUUGCUACAUACCUGCAAACUGAAUGUAGCCUUCAUAUUAGCUCAGGAACAGUGCAUAGAGAGCUUCAUAGAAUUGGUUUCCAUGGCCAAGCAGCUACAUCCAAGUCUUGUAAAGCCUGUUGCUACUGGACUCUCUGGAUGGACAAGUCUGGGUUUAGCCAUUGCCAGGAGAACAGUACUUCUAGGAAAGUUUGAUGCAGCAGGGAUUAUAGUGUAGGGCUGUUUUUCAGGAGUUGGGCCCGGCUUCUUGUUUCCCAUGAAAGGAACUCCAAAGAAAAUUUUGGACAAUUGUAUGCACCCAACUUUGUGGGAACAGUUCCUGUUCUAACAUGACUGUGCACCGGUGCACAAAGCUAGGUCCAUCAAGACAUGUAUGAGAGAGUUUGGUGUGGGAGAAAUUGACUGGCCUGCAAAGACUCCUGACUUCAACUCGACAGAACACCUUUGGGAUAAAUUAGAGCGGAGACUACUAGCCAGGUCUUCUCGUCCAACCUCGGUGUUGGACCUCAUAAAUGCACUUCUGAAAGAAUUCCGAUAAACACACUCUUAAACCUUGAGGAAAGCUUUCCCAGAGGAAUUGAAGCCAUUAUAGCUGCAAAGGGUCGACAUGAUAUUAAAGCCCUUGGUUUAAGAAUGGGAUGUCACGUAAUUUCAUAUAUGUAAAGGCAGACGAGCAAAUACUUUUGGUAAUAUAGUGUGUGAUGAUUUAGACUUUUUAAAUAGGAAUUUGCAUGUCUCCCUUUUGCUUUGGCAGUAUCGUCCGACUUGUGACACACAACCAGAGGGUCAGACUGAAAGUCUCCAGCAACACCUGCUAGACUAACAUAAGCUGUUCAUGGAGCUCUUGGAAAUGAGACACAUGUUUUAUUUAGUAUUUCAAUGACUCAUUGAAAAGCUUCAAGCAAUAUUCUGGUGCAGUUUGGAAUAUUUAUGUGCAAUGUUGACAGGAUUUACUGGCUGAAUCAGUUUUAUUUUAUUUAUUUUUAGACCACAGCCAACUAAGAUUUUUUGCAUUUUAAUCAGUAGUAACUGGGCUGGUACUCACAUAGCCCUUCUCUACCCUUACUGCGCUCUUUAAAACUACCAGCCAGUACUUCCAGAACCAUCUCCAUCUUAUUUUUUGUUUGUUUUAUUUGUUUGUUUUUAUAACCCACAUGCAGUGUUUUGGUUCUUUUGAUUUUUAAUGGUGUUAAUAA